CCCAGGGCUGAUGGUCUAGGAGGUGAUGAUCCUGGAGGUGACAGUCCUGGGGGUGAUGGUCCCAGGGCUGAUGGUCUAGGAGGUGAUGACCCUGGGGGAUGGUCCAGGAGGUGAUGGCCCCAGAGGUGACAGUCCUGGAGGUGAUGGUCCCAGGGCUGAUGGUCUAGGAGGUGACAGUCCCAGAGGUGAC